rnacentral:rRNA from 1 species
UCGAGCGGUAACAGAUCCAGCUUGCUGGAUGCUGACGAGCGGCGGACGGGUGAGUAAUGCAUAGGAAUCUGCCCGAUAGUGGGGGAUAACCUGGGGAAACCCAGGCUAAUACCGCAUACGUCCUACGGGAGAAAGGGGGCUCCGGCUCCCGCUAUGGGAUGAGCCUAUGUCGGAUUAGCUAGUUGGUGAGGUAACGGCUCACCAAGGCCACGAUCCGUAGCUGGUCUGAGAGGAUGAUCAGCCACAUCGGGACUGAGACACGGCCCGAACUCCUACGGGAGGCAGCAGUGGGGAAUAUUGGACAAUGGGGGCAACCCUGAUCCAGCCAUGCCGCGUGUGUGAAGAAGGCCCUCGGGUUGUAAAGCACUUUCAGCGAGGAAGAACGCCUAGCGGUUAAUACCCGCUAGGAAAGACAUCACUCGCAGAAGAAGCACCGGCUAACUCCGUGCCAGCAGCCGCGGUAAUACGGAGGGUGCAAGCGUUAAUCGGAAUUACUGGGCGUAAAGCGCGCGUAGGUGGCUUGAUAAGCCGGUUGUGAAAGCCCCGGGCUCAACCUGGGAACGGCAUCCGGAACUGUCAAGCUAGAGUGCAGGAGAGGAAGGUAGAAUUCCCGGUGUAGCGGUGAAAUGCGUAGAGAUCGGGAGGAAUACCAGUGGCGAAGGCGGCCUUCUGGACUGACACUGACACUGAGGUGCGAAAGCGUGGGGUAGCAAACAGGAUUAGAUACCCUGGGUAGUCCACGCCGGUAAACGAUGUCGGACCCAGCCCGUUGGGUGCCCUAGCGCACUUU